rnacentral:rRNA from 1 species
AGAGUUUGAUCAUGGCUCAGAACGAACGCUGGCGGCAGGCCUAACACAUGCAAGUCGAACGCUCGUAGCAAUACGGGAGUGGCGCACGGGUGAGUAACGCGUGGGCACCUGCCCGGUGGUUUGGGAUAACCGUGGGAAACUGCGGCUAAUACCGGAUACGCCCCUAGGGGGAAAGAUUUAUCGCCAUCGGAUGGGCCCGCGUAGGAUUAGCUAGUUGGUGAGGUAACGGCUCACCAAGGCGACGAUCCUUAGCUGGUCUGAGAGGAUGAUCAGCCACACUGGGACUGAGACACGGCCCAGACUCCUACGGGAGGCAGCAGUGGGGAAUAUUGGACAAUGGGGGCAACCCUGAUCCAGCCAUGCCGCGUGAGUGAAGAAGGCCUUCGGGUUGUAAAGCUCUUUUGGCGGGGACGAUGAUGACGGUACCCGCAGAUAGC